CGUGUGGGUCUGUGACAGAGGAAGAUGGCAACGAAAGAAAAAAAAGAGAGAAUGAUUGUGAAAUCAGAAAAUUCUUUGUUGUUGUCUAAAAAGGAGUAAUCUAUGCGACAAAAAGGAUACAUUUUUUUUUCGGCGAUCUUGUUUGCGUUCGUGUGUAGUUUUGUUGUUGUUUAUUUUUCUAAUGUUGGCUCCAUUUUUACAGCGUACACCCUGAUUGACUGACAGUGGAAUUGCCCGUAUAGCCGCCGUUAGCAUUUUGGCUAACUAAGCAAGCUAAGUUGUUUCGUGGAAAUCACUGCUGACCACAGAGCUCAUCACUAAGCUAUGGAUUCUGGGACUGAACACCUCCCUCUGCAACUGGAUCCUGGUCUUCCUGACGGGCUGCCCCCAGGUGGUAAGGAUGGGCAACAACAAGCGGUGGUGGUUGACUUUCAGUCCUGGGAGAGCAGUUGGGGCUAAGGAAGGCUAAGCCAAUCGCUGCUGGUUGGUGACUUGCUUGAAAAGCCAACGUUGCACUGGAGCAGCCAGCUAGGGCCAUGAGCCAGGGCUUCCUCCUCCCUCUGUGGACCAGAGCCAAAAUGGAGGUUUAGCCCAGACAGACGCUGAGCAAGUGUUAAGUGCUGCGGGUCCUCUGCCUAGGCAUGGAGUGGUGUUGGCUGCAGACUGGAUGACAGGGUCUUCAGGGAGAGCCGACGCGCGUCCCCCUGCACAGACACCCAACCCCCUAACUGACCACCGCUGACCCGUUACCACGGUGACACUGACACCGAAGUACAGCCUCACCCCUGCAACCACAGCAGAACCCCCCUCUUUUUCCUCAUCCCCCUCUAUCUGGACUCUCCUUUCCUGACCCCCCCCCCCUUCCUCCUCCUUUCCUGACACCCCCCUCCUCCUCCUUUCCUUACCCCCCCCCUCCUCCUUUCCUGACCCCCCCCUCCGCGG